rnacentral:rRNA from 1 species
UACGUAGGGGGCAAGCGUUGUCCGGAAUCAUUGGGCGUAAAGCGCGUGUAGGCGGUCCGGUAAGUCGGUUGUGAAAGUCCAGGGCUCAACCCUGGGAUGCCGACCGAUACUGUCGGACUAGAGUUCGGAAGAGGCGAGUGGAAUUCCCGGUGUAGCGGUGAAAUGCGCAGAUAUCGGGAGGAACACCAAUGGCGAAGGCAGCUCGCUGGGACGGUACUGACGCUGAGACGCGAAAGCGUGGGGAGCAAACAGG